CUUUAUAUUUUCAGAAAAAUACAUCUUUUUUGAAAUUAGGGUGAAACACACCGAAGAAUAUUAAAUUUGACAGGUGACCUCUAAUAAAAACAAACAAAACAAAACAAAAAUAACGCUUUUAGAACUAAGAGUGUAGAGGGUAAAAUAGGCAGAUGCAUUCUAUAAAAUUUUAUGUAAAAGAAUGUUCACUGGAAGAGCAUCCACUUGGCUCUCCAAAAUUCGCAAUGUGAGACAAGGGACAAAGCCAGGGAGUCUAAUUGGGCCUCUUGUCUCUAUAGAAACAGCUUUAUUGACACCCACUUCUUUUCUAUUUCUAUGGUAACAAGACACAGAAGUACCUUAGAAAUGAAAAGGGUAAAGAGAAGAGAUCUCUUAAGUGCUGAUGGAGCGUAUCACUCUGUUGGAAAUAUGUAAAAUACUGAUGGUGGAAAAGAUGAAUUUACCUGUCAGGAGCUUCAGAAUUUACAAAAGUGAGUAUUUUUAUUUAUACAGAGUUUUUCAUAAUCUAUACUGCCCUUUCUUCUCCAUCAGCUAAUUUUGUUUUUCUCUAUUUUAUUUCAUUGUCCUAAUGAAUGAGAUAAUCUUGUGCACUACUGAUAACUCAUUUAUUGCUCAUCUUCCCUUGGGUACGUUCAACAUGCAAGAACAAUCAUUCUUCCCAAUUAUGAGCCUUAAAAGGCAGUGAUUGUGGAAUAAUUUCAUUUACACCCUGAAAACACCAUAGAGUGUAUGUAACAAUAAGAGUUCUAAUGAGAUGGGGAGCUUAGUGUGCUGUUCACAUUUGCCCCUUUUGCUACUUAAAUCCAGAAUUCUUCAGACCAGUGAAUCAGAACAAGGAAACAAACUGAGACGUAAACAGAUGCCUGUCAGAACUGUCGUACUGUUUUCAUGAGUUUAAUCUUGUUAGAAAGUUUGACAAUAAAAGACUGAAAUAUAUUGAAAAAAAAGAGAAA
rnacentral:lncRNA from 1 species